rnacentral:rRNA from 1 species
AGCAGCCGCGGUAAUUCCAGCUCCAAUAGCGUAUAUUAAAGUUGUUGCAGUUAAAAAGCUCGUAGUUGAAUUUCGGGAUCAAUAUAUUGGUCGUGCCUUCGGUAUGCACUGGUAUUAUUGAUUUCUACCUUCUGACGAACCAUGAUGUCAUUAAUUUGGUGUCAUGGGGAAUCAGGACUGUUACUUUGAAAAAUUAGAGUGUUUAAAGCAGGCACACGCUUGAAUACAUUAGCAUGGAAUAAUGAAAUAGGACGUUUGAUCUUAUUUUGUUGGUUUCUAGGAUCGACGUAAUGAUUAAUAGGGAUAGUUGGGGGCAUUAGUAUUCAAUUGUCAGAGGUGAAAUUCUUGGAUUUAUUGAAGACUAACUACUGCGAAAGCAUUUGCCAAGGAUGUUUUCAUUAAUCAAGAACGAAAGUUAGGGGAUCGAAGACGAUCAGAUACCGUCGUAGUCUUAACCAUAAACUAUGCCGACUAGGGAUCGGAUGAUGUUAAUUUUUAAUGACU